CUACGGGUGGCUCCAGUGGGGAAUAUUGCACAAUGGGCGCAAGCCUGAUGCAGCCAUGCCGCGUGUAUGAAGAAGGCCUUCGGGUUGUAAAGUACUUUCAGCGGGGAGGAAGGGAGUAAAGUUAAUACCUUUGCCCAUUGACGUUACCCGCAGAAGAAGCACCGGCUAACUCCGUGCCAGCAGCUGCGGUAAUACGGAGGGUGCAAGCGUUAAUCGGAAUUACUGGGCGUAAAGCGCACGCAGGCGGUUUGUUAAGUCAGAUGUGAAAUCCCCGGGCUCAACCUGGGAACUGCAUCUGAUACUGGCAAGCUUGAGUCUCGUAGAGGGGGGUAGAAUUCCAGGUGUAGCGGUGAAAUGCGUAGAGAUCUGGAGGAAUACCGGUGGCGAAGGCGGCCCCCUGGACGAAGACUGACGCUCAGGUGCGAAAGCGUGGGGAGCAAACAGGAUUAGAUACCCCAGUAGUC
rnacentral:rRNA from 1 species